rnacentral:rRNA from 1 species
AGUGAACGCUGGCGGUAGGCCUAACACAUGCAAGUCGAACGGCAGCACAGGAGAGCUUGCUCUCUAGGUGGCGAGUGGCGGACGGGUGAGGAAUACAUCGGAAUCUGCCCAGUCGUGGGGGAUAACGUAGGGAAACUUACGCUAAUACCGCAUACGACCUUCGGGUGAAAGAGGGGGAUCGCAAGACCUCUCGCGAUUGGAUGAGCCGAUGUCGGAUUAGCUAGUUAGCGGGGUAAUGGCCCACCAAGGCGACGAUCCGUAGCUGGUCUGAGAGGAUGAUCAGCCACACUGGAACUGAGACACGGUCCAGACUCCUACGGGAGGCAGCAGUGGGGAAUAUUGGACAAUGGGCGCAAGCCUGAUCCAGCCAGACCGCGUGGGUGAAGAAGGCCUUCGGGUUGUAAAGCCCUUUUGUUGGGAAAGAAAUCUUUCAGGCUAAUACCCGGGGAGGAUGACGGUACCCAAAGAAUAAGCACCGGCGAACUUCGU